AGGUGGAGCACGCAGCCUCGGAGGGGUGAAGUCGCAGGCCGAUGAGCAGUCUGAGAAGGCGCUGUGCGGGCCACCUUUGGAAUGGGAUGAGCGUUUGAGGUGCCAUGAGAGACGAUGGCUGCAGGGUCUGACUCUGGAAUGAGCAGAUGAUGAAGAGGAACCGGGUGACUGCCGGAUCAUCCCAGUUAGCCCGUGUGAUUUUUGGGGAGGAUGGAUUCAUACUCUUGGCCCUCUGAAAGU